rnacentral:lncRNA from 1 species
UGGGGACAUGCCACAGAGGGGUCAGGGGUCAGGAGGGGUCACAGGAACCUGACGCAAGGGGUCAGGGGUCAGAGGUCAGGAGGGGUCACAGGGACAUGGCAUGGACACAUGUCACCCCUGUCCCAGUGGGGACAUACCAGAGAGGGGUCAGUGGGGCCAGGGGUUAGGAGGGGUCACGGGGGUCACAGGGAUGUGGCAUGGUCAUGUGUCACCCCCGUCCCAGUGGGGACAUGCCACAGAGGGGUCAGGGGCCAGGGGUCAGGAGGGGUCACAGGAACCUGACACAAGAGGUCAGGGGUCAGAGGUCAGGGGUCGGGGGGCACAGGGAGCUGAUAGCAAAGGUCAGGGGGUCAAGAGGGGUCAAAGGAUCCGGACAGGAGGGGUCAUGGGGGUCAUAGGGAUGUGGCAUGGUCACGUGUCACCCCCGUCCCAGUGGGGACAUACUGCAAAGGGGUCAGGGGUCAAGGGUCAGGAGGGGUCACGGAGAGCUGACGUAAGGGUCAAGGGUCAGGAGAGGUCAAAGGGACCUGACAUGAGGGGUCAGAGGUCAGGAGGGGUCAUGGGGGCAUGUGUCACCCCUGUCCCAGUGGGGACAUGCCACAGAGGGGUCAGGGGUCAGGAGGGGUCACAGGAACCUGACGCAAGGGGUCAGGGGUCAGAGGUCAGGAGG